GGAUGUAAAGGUUACAUCUGAAAAGAUCUUACCGAACAAAAGACUUGAAUAGAGGGCGUUGUUGUUCUUGGUUGAACAUGUGCAUUUUCUGGAGUGAAUGGUGAUUUCACAAUCAUGUUCUGCAGUGAGCCACAUGCUAGAGAUUAUGAAUCACGAGGAACUGAGCUCCAGUGUGGUAGGCAGAGAAAAAGUCUGCUAUCUUUGAAACAGUAAAUACUGGCAUGUUCAUGCUUGAUCACAUUUGGAAAACUGAGUGAAACCUCUGUAAAUCUACCCUUGGGUCCUGUUUCUUCCUUGGUCACAGCGCAUCCCAAGUCAUCUCUGUGACAGACCUUCCUUAAUGGGGAAAUCUCCAGCUGCAAAUUGAAGGAUGAAUACUGUGCCUCUACUGGAUUCCAUCUGGAUGUCAUGUUCUCCUGAAAAUCAAUAGUUUUGUACUAAAAGAUCAACCACAAACCAAACCCAAGGAAUAUUAUCUGGCAAAUGCUCCUUUGAAGG